GGCGAUUCUUCCACGGCGCUCGAAGCGCGUCGUGGUAUUUCGCGUAUNGUAAUUUCAACACGAGCGGGGUCAAAUCCUUUGCAGACGAUUAGCUGUGCGAAACGGUCCUGUAAGCAGUAGAGUAGCCUUGUUGUUACGAUCUGCUGAGGGUAAGCCGUCCUUCGCCUCGAUUUCCCCAAUGGGUUCUCCGGAUUUCUGGAGACUUGUAGGGGUUGUGGGAUUUUUGAUGUGUCGUCUCCGGACGGGCGGUGCAGGGUAGUCGAGUUAGACUUGGUGGAAUUCCGUCGAUAGGAGUUCCGUCGAGUCUGGUCGGCUGUGUGUUGGACGGUGUAGGGUAGGCUGCUUGGACAUGGUCGGUUCGAGGAUCGAUUCGAGGGCCGGCCUGUCGAUGAUGUGUGAUGUAUGCGGUCUAGGGUAGGUUGGUUUGUCUUGGUUCGAUUUGAUGUCGGCUCCCGUGCAGGCCAGAGUGAGGGGGGUCCAGGGUAGGUGCAGGGUAGGCAGCUUAGAUUUGGUCGAUCUGGAGGUCGAUUCUCCGGCUGGCGGAUCUGACACUGUCGAAACGAGAUGCGAGGGGUGUAGGGUAGGCUAGUUUCGUACUUGCCAGGUUGCGAUUUGGACGAGAUAUGUGGUUUAGGGUAGGCUCUAGGGUAAGUAGAAUUCGAGUUUCGUCGCCGAUAGUUUUCUGUGGGUGUAUGGUAGGUACAGGGUAGGCAAAUCUCUCUCCGGCCAGUACUUGUCUCGUGGUCGUGAGUCGAUUUUUUUGUUUUGCCAUACUAUUGAAUUUUGCGGAAAUUCAAAAGUGGCUCGGGAGUCCCGCCUGGCGUGCGUCCGACUCGAACAUCG
rnacentral:rRNA from 1 species